GAACGCGUUUUCCAAUGGUGAACUCCAGGAAAAAGGAACUCUUACACGUUCUAUACUCCCAACAUAACGAACCCUAUGGUUUAAGCUCUCAGCUACUUCUGAUCUUACUCUCUUAAGCCUUUGCAGCCGCUUUCUUAAACCCUCGAAGUCCGCCUUCCUGAAGGGGAGCGUCUGGGGGGGUAUUUUUGAUGAAUAUUUUUAAUUCCUCGAAAUUCACUUUAUGGGCUCAUCAUACCAGGGAUACAAUGGGGUGUCACGUGGCGAGGUUAGUUUUUUAAAAUUUAAAUCCUCGCGCGGUCUGGCGGCCCUUUAAAUAUCUGGUAGUGUUGCCAUACAGAGCGCUUUACGCGCCAAAAUAUGCAUACAUGAAUCAGUGCUUUUAUGUCCGUAAUUUUUGCAAUAGAGGAUAUUUUUUUACACAGGGUUAGAGUUACAUUGACAUUCAUUACCAAUACAUUGUCAUCGGAGAGCAGAAUCGAUGGGCGAUCGAUAAAUUUAGUUUUCCUUCGUUUUCUCAAAACAGGGUCACACGCGCAUUUAUUUGAUAUUUCUAAGUUAUUUAUGGACCUAGCACAAACAUAAAGAUAGCGUUGGAAAGAGAAAAAAAUUGGCUAUAAAUGCUAGUGAUCAGAAUCUGGAUAAACAUCAUCAAAAUUUUUAUAUAAAUUUUCUAAUUUUAAACUUUGAAGAAACAAAAACAAAAACAACAACAAAAAAAAAAAGGAAAAGUAAUCUCUAGGAAUACACUUAUUUUGUAUGCCCGUUCCAGUGGUGUUUUUAUUUUUGAGCUAUCUAAACUCUAAAUAUGCUUUUUUUCAAUUUCAAAAUUUUGAAAUUUUUGAAAACAAAUUCAUAAAAAAUUUUUUUCAACAAAUCUUCACCAAAACUGUACAUGAUGUUCCUACUCAAGGUACACAUCACCUGUGAGAAAAUGGUGAUCCUCUGAUAAUAUCUUAGAACAUGGCAGACGCUCCCCUUAAGUCAGGUAUUAAGUGUUGUUUCUGCUGACUCUAUCCUCCCAUUUAAUAUUAAAUCUAAUUUCCUUAUGAUCACUGUUCCCUAAUGAACCCCCAACCUCAAUGUUGUUUAUUAUGUCAUCUUUAUUAGUUAACAACAAAUCCAAAAUAUUUUCUUCCCUCGUUGGUGUUCUAAUUAACUGCUUAAAGAAAUGAAGCGGCGGGAAAUGAAAAAGAGCCAUGCAGCAUGUAAAAACUGCAUGGAAAUUUGUGUGCCUGUGAGAACAAGACAACGCUUGCUGAGCACCCAAUGAUGAUCACAAGACUAAGAUUCCCACCUGCGGGAUAUACUGUGAAAUUUAUUAAUCAUGCUAAAGCAUAUGAGCCAUCUUAUUUAGCAUUCUCUCAUUUAGUAUUCUCGUAAAGCCUUCUUCGAAUGGUUGUAAAGAGACAUCACUUUGCCAUAGCGUAUGCUUACAUUAUAGUUAAUAGAAACGGAGAAACAGUAGAAAGCGGAUCCUAUUGUGGAAGUAAUGCUGUAAACCAUUUUAGUUGAACCCACACUGUUUUGUAUAUAGAAAGAACUUACAUUAGCUGAACUCACACUGUUUUGUAUAUAGAACGAACUUACAUUAGCUGAACUCACACUGUUUUGUAUAUAGAACGAACUUACAUUAGCUGAACUCACACUGUUUUGUAUAUAGAACGAACUUACAUUAGCUGAACUCACACUGUUUUGUAUAUAGAACGGUCUUACAUUAGCUGAACUCACACUGUUUUGCAUAUAGAACGAACUUACAUUAGCUAAACUCACACUGUUUUGUAUAUAGAACGAACUUACAUUAGCUGAACUCACACUGUUUUGAAUAUAGAACGAACUUACAUUAGCUGAACUCACACUGUUUUGUAUAUAGAACGAACUUACAUUAGCUAAGCUCACACUGUUUUGUAUAUAGAACGAACUUACAUUAGCUGAACUCACACUGUUUUGUAUAUAGAACGAACUUACAUUAGCUAAACUCACACUGUUUUGUAUAUAGAACGAACUUACAUUAGCUGAACCCGCACUGUUUUGUAUAUAGAAAGAACUUACAUUAGCUGAGCUCACACUGUUUUGUAUAUAAACGAUCUUACAUUAGCUGAACUCACACUGUUUUGUAUAUAGAACGAACUUACAUUAGCUAAACUCACACUGUUUUGUAUAUAGAACGGUCUUACAUUAGCUGAACUCACACUGUUUUGCAUAUAGAACGAACUUACAUUAGCUAAACUCACACUGUUUUGUAUAUAGAACGGUCUUACAUUAGCUGAACUCACUGUUUUGAAUAUAGAACGAACUUACAUUAGCUGAACUCACACUGUUUUGAAUAUAGAACGAACUUACAUUAGCUGAACUCACACUGUUUUGAAUAUAGAACGAACUUACAUUAGCUGAACUCACACUGUUCUGAAUAUAGAACGAACUUACAUUAGCUGAGCCCACACUCCUGGAAGAAGUUAAAAUUUUCUAAAGGCUACAAUAAAAUCAAUAUGACCGAUGAAGAUACGGCACGUCACAAUGAACAAACUCUCUGUCUUCUCUGUAAAUACGGGUUUUAAAAGGUAAAGGAGUAAAACAUCAUGACCAUGAAAAAUCAGGAAACAAUUACAUUGAAGCUUAUUGUAAUAGAUGCAACCUUCAAAUGAAAAAUCACAAAUUGCAGCUCACUCUCAUUGCACAUAAUGCGGAUUACGACAUGACGUUAAUCCCGCGUGAAUUAACGAUACCUGACUUGAAAAUCAAACUAAGACCAAAACAUUCAGUUCACUAAUACCAUGAAGGGAAGAAAGCGAGGGAGGAGGCGCCUCGUGAGGUCUAGUUGACUCAGCUACUUAGCUUUAACUUAAUUGCCGUACAUUUAGACUGUGAAGAAAUCCCCAGACCCUGGCAGCGUUCCCCGUUGCGGGGCGACCGUCUGACUGACUGAGGCAGGCAAAUGAGGCGAGUGAAAGGGCCCCGCCAAUCCCGCGCCGAAGCUACUAAACCUGUAUUGUACGCGUCCGUGGUACCAAAGGUUAUACUGUAUACUAAGUAUUAUAUAUUUGCAUUCAAAGUAAUAUGAAUCUUAUCGUUUAAAGUGAUGAGAAUUAAAUCGCGGGAAAUUCCAAACUAUGAAGUAUCAUGAUACUAGAUAAUUACACUUUUCUAAUACUUUUUCAAUAAUUUAGAAAAUUCAAUUUCUAUUGAACAAAAUUAUUUGUAACGAGUGACAAGCGACGUACAAAACUCCUUCAGGUAUCGGUAGUAUCGGCAGAAAAUCAGCCGAUACCGAUACCACCGAUACCGAUACAUCGGUAUCGGUUGUUAUGGAGACUCCCGCAACUGCUAACUACACUCGAGGUGUAGGCUUCGCACCAGGGUUUAGCAGCCGCAGUAUCCCUAUUCUCGAGGCACCGGAACUCCGUUCGACCAUUAACGUGAAGCUAACCCAAUGUAUCGUCCGAGAUGGAGGGUGAACGGGUGUCAGUCACGUCCAGGGCCCGUAUCCUCGAGAGCUAUUAACUUUUACUCUUAAAGUUACUAUCAAAGUUAAUAGUUUCAAAUUAUUAAGAGUAAAAGCUAUCCUCGUCAACUUUGAGUGUAGGUAUUAGCAAAUCCUGGCUACUAUUAUCUUCUUCUUCUUCUUCUUUAUGGCGGGCUCGUUGCUAAGGACGCCUCCGUGCAAAACGUAAACAUCCGACAUGAAUUAAGUAUAUAUUUCAAAAGAAAAAUAAAGAAAAGAUGUAUAAAUGUACAACAGAAACAUAAUAAAUGGCAAACACAAGAAAAUACUGAGUUUUGUGGCAGAUAGAAGCAGCCUCCAAGGCUGUUUUUACUCCGUCACUCGUCAAUACCCGUAUCUCCCCUCCUGCUCUGCUGAAAUUACCGCACCAUAACCACGUCAUCUGCCCCAAUGAUCUACGGGCCGGAGAACCAGCGCAGAAAAGGAGUAAGUUUAAUUGGUCGCCAGAUGAAACGGUCUUCUUACAUCAAAUUCAAGAAAAAAUAAUACGUAUAAUCAGAGGGUGUUAUGGGAAGAGUAUCACCCCUGAGGAUAAGAAGAGAGCGUGGACUGAAGUGGCAGAAGCUGUAACAAGUGCCUUCCCUGGGAGUGGACCCCGUACGCAGGAUGACUGUGAGAGGCGUUGGUACAACGUACAACAAAAAUCAAAGCCUUGCAUUGCCAAGUGCAAGAAUGAGCAGCAGCAGACUGAUACACACUUUAUCAGUAUUGCUAGAGACCAUCCCAGCACAUUGUUCAUUACUUGUGGAAAAGAUACCAUUAGCUGCUCCGGCAACAGCCACUGCUUCAAUAUCUGCUGGCCCUAUGACACCAGCCACUGUUUCAUCAUCUGCUGGCCCUAUGACACCAGCCACUGCUUCAUCAUCUGCUGGCCCAAUGACACCUGCCACUGCAAGGGAUGACAAUGAAGCUGCUCCACCAGUAACCACCUACUUCA